CCCUUAGAUGUUCUGGGCCGCACGCGCGCUACACUGAUGCAUUCAACGAGUUUCUUCCUGGUCCGAGAGGAAUGGGUAACCUUUUGAAAGUGCAUCGUGAUAGGGAUAGACUAUUGCAAUUAUUGGUCUUCAACGAGGAAUUCCUAGUAGACGUAGUUCAUCAGACUGCAUCGAUUACGUCCCUGCCCUUUGUACACACCGCCCGUCGCUCCUACCGAUUGAAUGCUCAGGUGAGCCAUUCGGACUUUCAUCAUGCUGGUUUCCAGUUUUGAUGAAGGGAAGUCUUGCGAACCUUACCAUUUAGAGGAAGGAGAAGUCGUAACA
rnacentral:rRNA from 1 species